AUCGGCGCCAGAGAGGCGCGGAAGGUCUUGAGGCAGGUCUUGCAGAGCAGCGAAUACCA
rnacentral:SRP_RNA from 13 species